GGAGCUAUAGCUCAGUGGUAGAGCUCAUGCUUAGCACGCAUGAGGUCCUGGGUUCAAUCCCCAGUAUCUCCA
rnacentral:tRNA from 1 species